rnacentral:rRNA from 1 species
CCAACCACCACGCAGCGCCACCCACCCUGGCGACGAACCACCCCACGCCGGCCACCACCCCGCGCCACCUUCCCACCACACCUUCUGUUGUGCACCUUCCUUCCCUCGAUCCACCUCCCCCCAUGGCAGCGCCGCACCUCUCUCCCUCGUGUCCCCCGAUCCACAUCUGCUGGGCGCCGCCCUACCCCGAGCCGGCCGUCGACGCACCCAUCGGCGGCCUGGGCUGGCGCCGUCCUGCCCUGCAUCACCGGCGUGCUGGGCUCGCGCCACCCUGCCUUGCAUCGACGCCGGCGGCCACGGGAGGAUCCCGUCCCCCACGCCCAUAUCCGCCUCCCCGACGGCCGUUGACCUCUACGCCGACCUGAUCCAACCCCACACCCAUGCCAACGCUUGGAUCUGCAUCCGUAGAUGCCAGAUCGAGGCAGGGGCUCACCGUCGACCACCUCUCCCCUCGAGUGUCAUGGCUGGGGAGUUGGCGGUGGUCGGUGCGCCAGCGGUGUACCCCGGUGGUGGUUGCAGUACGUGGGCAUGCCGGCGGCCCCAUCGAUGGCAGCAACUCAGCAACACACAUUGAAGCCCACGGUGCUCACCGUCCCCCCCCUUGCAGUCCACGUCGUCGUGCCUUUCUUCGUCGUUGGUGCCGUGACUCCGAGCAGAUCGAAAACCCAUCCCUCCCUCUUCCUCUCCUAGCUACUUAGCUAGUGCCACUGCUCCCAUUGCCGCGGCUCACAUAUCCAGCAGGGGCAGCUCAGAUUCCGCCGGUGUGCAGUUUCUUUUGUUUGUGGGAUGAUUGAAAAAAAUGUGCCGGCGACCCCAUCGAUGGCCAGCUCUUUCAUGCAGUUGGCUGGAUGCGUGGGAUGCAUCUACAUGUUCGUGCUGUGCACAUGUGCCACCCCCUGUAGUGCAGAACACAGGUUGUGCAUGUGCAGUACGAUGGUGGGCGCCUACAGUGCAAACGAUGAGAAAUGUACAGUAUGACCGCCAACUCAUUCCCCAUUUGGCCUCAAUGUUUCUUCUCCCUUCUGGUGACCAGCUCCCAUGGAUAUUCCACCAGUUCAAGAACGGUGAAACUGCAAGCAGAAAGAGGCCAUUCCACCGACUCCAAACAGAAAGAGGCCAUUCCACGGUGGACUGCACUGGAUGCUCUCUGGGCGGCCAAUGUAACAUUGCAGGCCAUGGAGCGCUGAGGAAGCUGGUGGUGAGCACCGCAAAGAGUAGCAUCUGCUUGAGGAGCUUCGUCGGGAAGGUCCGCGUCGUCGGGAGCAUAUGACCACAUUUUUCUUCUGUAUGUUCUAUUUGCCAUGCACGAGGGCACAAUUCACUUCCUUUUUGUGGGACAAUUCACUUCUAUUAUUAUUUUCCUUUCAUUGUGUUCUUGCACGCAGCCAACAAAAUGACGUGGAAAAAGUUGUCUAUUCGGUGAACCUCGACCUGCUCCUGGCCUCCCUACCAGCAACCAGAGAAUCACCAUGACGUGCAGUACACCUCCUAUGACAAAAAAUGAUGCAACUCAAAAGUUCAGUGAUGCAGUGUGCACUACACGGCGAUGCAGUGCGGUUCCCACAAAAACGCUGUGUGGCGAUGCCGUACGGUUGGUGUUGGCAUGUUGUUCCCGGAAGCAGAGCACGAAGAUGUAGUCUGGUUACAAUUGUGUAGCAGCUCAUUACCCCUUCUUGUGGAGUGCAUUUUUUUUCAUAUAUUUUUCAUUUUGUUUCAUGUAUUUCAAAAAUCAGUCGACUACAUCAACAUCUGCAGUGUAUUUGGUCCUUGGAUAUGGUUCACUUUUGAGAGUGAUACUGUUCACUUGCACACAGUGUCGAAGUGUGAAAAAAAUU